UACGUAGGGUGCGAGCGUUAAUCGGAAUCACUGGGCGUAAAGGGCGCGUAGGCGGCUUUUCAAGUCGGGGGUGAAAGCCUGUGGCUCAACCACAGAAUUGCCUUCGAUACUGUUAGGCUUGAGACCGGAAGAGGUGAGUGGAACUGCGAGUGUAGAGGUGAAAUUCGUAGAUAUUCGCAAGAACACCAGUGGCGAAGGCGGCUCACUGGUCCGGUUCUGACGCUGAGGCGCGAAAGCGUGGGGAGCAAACAGG
rnacentral:rRNA from 1 species